rnacentral:pre_miRNA from 1 species
AGAAAGAGUCCGAACGACAGAUUUCUAUUGUACAGUACGGCGCGAAACGGUACCGAUCCGGCGUGCCGACUGGAUUAGGAAGAAUAGGUAGGUAGGUAUACGGACUGUGACUGUAGAAUGCAAGCAUCUAUUCCCAGAUCGUGAGUGCUACACAACGUUUCUACCGUAUUCGCCAACCGACCGAACUGGGUACCUUAUUCGACAAAGGAAUCGAUCGUAUCGGGGAGGAAAU